UUGCUUUGGCAGCUCAUAUACUAAAAUUGAAAUGAUACAGAGAUUAUCAUGGCCCCUGCACAAAGAUGACACGCAAAAGUAAAUUAGAAGGAUACAUACUAAUUUUAU